AAUAGACGUCGGUGGAUGGUGGUGUAGUGGUGAAGGCUCAAGCCAGCGAAGCCUUGGACGGUGGUGCCGUGGUGGUACUGUGGGCUAUGGAAGCCAACCUUUUUCAGUGUUGAUUGCUUGAUGUUGAAGCCCUAGUUCUCCGGGAAAAUAUUGGAGAAAAGAAGCAAUGAGGUCCCAAAUGAAACAAAAGUUUAAAAAAUAUUGGGGAGAUCCAGAAAAAAUGAACUUCUUCAUAUUUUAUGCCAAUAUUUUGGAUCCUAGGAUUAAGAUUGAGUAUAUGCCUCAUCAAUUUGCCUAGUUGUAUGGUGAAGAAAAAGGCAAAUCAUGUUUUGCAAAGGUUCAAGUUGCAAUGGUUGAGCUGUUUAAUGACUGUGCAGCCACCUAAAGUGUCACCUCUGUGCAGUUUGCAUCCUCUACUGUGCAAUCUGAACCAGUUCAUGUCCAUUCUCAAACUACAGUUGGAAAACCUCAAUCUAGACUGAAAAGCCAGAUGAAAAAA